rnacentral:misc_RNA from 1 species
UUUCCGUAGGUGAACCUGCGGAAGGAUCAUUCAUAAUAAUUGUUUUAUGGCACUUUUUUAAAUCCAUAUCCACCUUGUGUGCAAUGUCAGGGUUGAUUUUUCUCUCGAGAGGAUCAACCCCAAACAUCAACUAUAUCUCAACUCUUUGUCUGAAAAAUAUUAUGAAUAAAACAAUUCAAAAUACAACUUUCAACAACGGAUCUCUUGGCUCUC